CCCCCCGUCGAGCUCGUCCCCGUCUUCGCGGCGAACCGGGCGAACUGCGCGGCUCCUCUUCUUCGCCUCCGGCGUCCUCCGUCCCGUCCGGCGCCCCCUCUUCUCCCCAAGGUGAGACCCGCCGCCCAGUGCCUCCUCCUCCUCGGUCCGGUCCCGAUCCGCGGCGAGGUCGUCGUCUUCUCUGCCGGCGUUCGUCAGGGGGCUGUUGUUGGAGAGUACGUGCAGAGUGCGAGGGUUAGUUUGUUGCUGUUAGAGGUAGGAGUGGUACCAGGGGCAUCCUCCUCCCCUCGUUGGCAGCGCGUGGCCAGAGGGACCCCCCCUCGUCGCCGCCAGCGCCGCUUAGCAUCGCCGGCCGUGCAGCGUAGCGACGCAGGCAGGGCUGCCCGUCAGGUUCUAUGCCGCGUGCUCCCAGGCGAGCAGGGUUCCGACAGUCGCGGCUCCGGCAAGCCAAGCGGGGUCCUUUACCCGCGCUCAGGGCGAAAAUGGGUUCCCCGAGAGUCCCGCGGGCCCCGCCGUUGGUUUUCCCCGCCGGUGGUGGCCGGGAGUGGCGCCGCCAGCGUCCUCGGGUCCGGCCGCCGGCGGGAUGCUUCCCGUGAGGCGUGUGUAGUUCUUCUUUACUUGCUAGUCUUAGCCAGACUCCAGUUCGUAGCCUGAUGGUAGCACCUCUCUGUCAUAUGCGUGCGCCUGAUGGGAGAUCCAGGGUUCGAACCCCCCUCUCGGCACAAUUUUUAGUUUCUUUUCCUAUACGGUAGCCAGCAAGGGGAGUUAUCUGUUUCCUGUCGCGUUCCUGUCACCAAUAGCGCAGCUAGUGCAGUGGUUUGUUGGUGACUGGUAAUCCAGUAGGUGCCUAGUUCGAAUCCCCCUCGGCGCAGGGUAUAUUUUUGUUGUCAGGUUUUUUUUUCCCUGUUGAUCCUAUGCAAGAGGAGAAGGGACAUGUUUCCCUGUACUCCUCCCCCUUUCUGUCGAGUUGGUCAUGCUAGUGCAGUGGCUAGGUGGUGCCCCCUGUACCAGGGGAUGCAGGGUUCGAAUCCCAGGACCCUGUUAUUGCUGUAGCUUUUUUUCCCCUUAUUUUCUUGCUGCCUUUAGUUGUUCUACCUCUUCCUUGGGCUUGGGCAGCAAGCUGGAUUUAAGUUCAUUUUUUUUCCCUCCUGCUAGUGUAAUUAGUAACAGUUCCCUCUGUGUGUGAGUUGCACACUUGCAAGUGAUUAGAUGUGGUAAUGCUAGCAUUGUGAGCCUUGUGGAUUGCAUCUAGUGGUGUGGAGUACACUUGGUGGGAGUUGUGCAUGUGAUGUGUUUUCAUUGUGUGUGUUGUGCCUUAAGGAGAUAAGAUGCACUAGCUACUCUUGUGGAGCCCAUCUUUGGGAGUUUUAGGUGGUAUAAGAGAUCUUGCAGAUUUAAUUAUCUUGCCUUGUUAUAGUGGAGUGUGCACCAUCACAUGCCCAUGUGUGGGGGGUGUGUAUACUCUCUUGUUAUAUAAAGAUUUCUUGUGUGUGAGCUUGAUGCUAGUGCUUGAGAGGAAUUGUGUGUGUUGGAGUUGUUGAUGUGCAUGACACAAACAUGGGGUUCAAACCCCCAUGUCACUUUGUCAUUGUGCACAUGAAACCCUCCUAUGCAUUGUCAUCUUAAAAGUAUACCUUUUGGAUUUGCAUUUUUCAUUUUGUUGAAAGUUUGGGCUUUGUUUCCAUGGUAUAGAUGGAGCCCAAAGGCAUGGAUCUUGGUGUGUUAGUUGUAGGGGUUUGUGCUCAAUACCAUAGUGGUGUCAAACACCUCUUGGGAACUUGUGUGUGCAAACUAUGCCUAGACAAAGUGGGCAUGUGGCUGGAAAAAUUCCAGAACUUUGAACUCUGAAAAUUUCACUAAGUCUGGAAUGCUGAAAACAUUUUCUUCCCCUGUAGAUAAGGUUGUGCAGGUCAGUAUGUUGAGAACUGGACUUAGUUCAGUGCUAGUGUUUUGAACCUGGUAUGUUUGUGCAACUUCCUGUCAAUUUUCAAGUCAUUUGGAGUCCAGUAGCUUGUGUUUUGAUUGCUGUCAAAAGGCUUCAGAACAGAAACAGAAACUCAGGUGCAGAAAUUUUCACUAAGUCCCUGAGAACUGAUGGUUUUGGGAAAGUUUGUGGCCUUGUAUCUUCUAGAGUUUAAUUCCUUUUGCUGUGAUUCUUGCUGGAGAUGGUAGUGUUCUUGGUUGGCAACAUCCACAUAUAUUAUUUGUCAUGUUUGAAGACCUGUAGCUAUGUUGCAUGUUGCUCUCAAACAGCUAAGAUGCAGAAAUUGGCAGAUUGCGUAGUUUUGACAUUUUGUUCAAAGUUUGUGCUUAAUUGUUGUUGGGGUGUUCUACCUUGCUCCAUUUCAUUCAUGCUGGGUUAAUAUAUGUCUUGGCAACCUGGAAACACCAGAUUUGCGCCAAUUGUGUGUGUGGUGAUGAAUCUUUCACGUAGGGCUUUAUAUCGUGUUUCGUUGAUUCCCGUUGACCCGUAGCUCCGUUUGCAAAGUUCUUUAUAUGGUUUUGCACCGUUUCUACGAGAUGCAUAUGUUCAUAUCAUUCCCAUGCAUGUCCAAAUAGUUUAGUGCAAAGUUCUGUCCAGGAACUUGUUGUAGUUAUUCUUACUUGUGCUAGUGUUAGAAAUAGUGGUGCAUGCUCAACUUUCAUUUCAUGCAUCAUGUGAUUGUUGCAUUUUGUGGUGCUGCUGUUCAUUGGCUGUCAUUCUUGUGUUGGGUAGCACCGGGAGCGGAGACCGAUUACGUGGAGUCAGGAGAGUACGUGCAGGACGAUCCAGAACCAUUCCAAGCUGAGGAUAUCACAGGCAAGAUGACAUGACCUUGAUCCCAUAUCUAGACUUGUUAUGUUAGUUUCGUUUCCACGUUAUUGCUCGCUGCCUACCUCUGAAAAUAUAUUGCCUCUUCAUAUGCCAUGAGCCUAAACACCUUACUCUUUCCUAGCAAACUUACAUGGCUAGGUAGGCUUGCCGAGCUACUAAUGUUAGCAUUGUUAGUUGCAGGUGUUUAUAACUCAUGAGUUGCCAUGAGCUUGAUAUCAUUAUAUUAAUUUCUGUUAUUUAAUUAACGUAUCUAUAUAUUUGGUAAACGACGGGAGGCCUAGCCUUUUGCCGGGUGUCUUGUUCCGUUAUUGCCGCCUUAGUUACCGGUUACCGGUGUUUGAUUCCAUAAUGAUCGCUCCUAACACGUUCGGGGUUGUUAUGGGGACCCCCUUGAUAAAUCGCGUAGAGCUAAGGCUUGUCCGGCAGGACCCAACUUUGGUACUAUUUGCUAAUCACAUAAUAAAUUGCAUAGGGAAUAGCUACCCCGAGGAAUUUAAUCAACAACCCGGGCCAGUGCUCCCCAUGAGUGUUGGUCCCACCUGAGCGAUGUCCGGGGCCCCACUGGUCACCCAGAGGUUUAGCCAUCCCGACGUCUAGCUCAUCUGUCGUGUCCUGAGACUGAGAUACGCGGCUCUUAUCAGGGUCGUCGACACGACGGGAGGUCCUGCUAGCCUUGUCUUGCCUUAGCGGUAUAUCUUGCGUAUAGGAAUCCCGGUGAGGCUUUGGUUUACCCCAGAGUUGAGGUUUUCCUUUAAGGAAUCCGACGAGAUCACGAGAUUCGUGAUAGAGGAUGCCUUUGCGGCCUGUGUUCGUUUGUGAUGGACUAGUUGGAGCACCCCUGCAGGGUUUAAUCUUUCGGAAAGCCGUGCCCGCGGUUAUGUGGCAGCUUGGAAUAUUUUGUUAACAUCCGGUAUUAGAAAACUUAAACAAAAACUAAUAAAAUAGGCCAACUGUGUGAGUAACCGUGACUGUCCCUUCGAAGAUCUCUCUUCGAUCGGGAACACGGUGGGGUUAUGAAUGCCGUAGGUAGGUGUUCAGGAUCACUUUCUGAUCAAAUAACCACGAUCGUUAGUAUAGAACACUGUCACUUCUCUUUCGCGUAAGCUAGCCACUUGUUCAAUCUUAGGAUGCAACAACCUGAAACACUUCACCCCUUCCUUACCCAAUAACAUGACUAGUUCUGGCACCAAGGUCUUCGAUUGCUGAGUCCCCGUGGCUCACGGAUUCCUCCGAAACUUCCAGCAGGUACAGGUACCCCAGAGGCAGAGGAUCCCGA
rnacentral:lncRNA from 1 species